rnacentral:rRNA from 1 species
CCUACGGGAGGCAGCAGUGGGGAAUAUUGGACAAUGGGGGGAACCCUGAUCCAGCGACGCCGCGUGAGUGAAGAAGUAUUUCGGUAUGUAAAGCUCUAUCAGCAGGGAAGAAAGAAAUGACGGUACCUGACUAAGAAGCCCCGGCUAACUACGUGCCAGCAGCCGCGGUAAGACGUAGGGGGCAAGCGUUAGCCGGAUUUACUGGGUGUAAAGGGAGCGUAGACGGCGAUGCAAGUCUGAAGUGAAAGGCGGGGGCCCAACCCCCGGACUGCAUUGGAAACUGUAUGGCUGGAGUGCAGGAGAGGCAAGUGGAAUUCCUAGUGUAGCGGUGAAAUGCGUAGAUAUUAGGAGGAACACCAGUGGCGAAGGCGGCUUACUGGACUGUAACUGACGUUGAGGCUCGAAAGCGUGGGGAGCAAACAGGAUUAGAUACCCGGGUAGUC